UCGGGAAUAUUGCGCAAUGGAGGAAACUCUGACGCAGUGACGCCGCGUGCAGGAAGAAGGUUUUCGGAUUGUAAACUGCUUUAGACAGGGAAGAAACAAGACAGUACCUGUAGAAUAAGCUCCGGCUAACUACGUGCCAGCAGCCGCGGUAAUACGUAGGGAGCAAGCGUUAUCCGGAUUUAUUGGGUGUAAAGGGUGCGUAGACGGGAAGUCAAGUUAGUUGUGAAAUCCCUCGGCUCAACUGAGGAACUGCAACUAAAACUAACUUUCUUGAGUGCUGGAGAGGAAAGUGGAAUUCCUAGUGUAGCGGUGAAAUGCGUAGAUAUUAGGAGGAACACCAGUGGCGAAGGCGACUUUCUGGACAGUAACUGACGUUGAGGCACGAAAGUGUGGGGAGCAAACAGGAUUAGAUACC
rnacentral:rRNA from 1 species